rnacentral:rRNA from 1 species
GUCUACAGCCAUGCCACCCUGAACAAGCCCAAUCCCAUCUGAUCUCAGAAGCUAAGCAGUGUCGGGCCUGGUUAGUACUUGGAUGAGAGACCACCUAGGAAGACCAGGUGCUGUAGGUG